rnacentral:ribozyme from 1 species
ACGGGCUCGGCCACGCAGACGGUAAACCCCAUCAACCAGUGCUCGGUGGUCUUCAAGGCCCAGCACGCCUUCCAGUGGAUCGAGAACGUCUGCGGCGGCCACCCGCCCAGCCCCA